GAACCCGGAGUGUAAAAUACAGAGUCUGUGGCUGUACAGUAACAGACUGACCGAUGGCUGCACUGAUGCUCUGGUCUCCGCUCUCAGUACAAACCGCUCACUGAGGUUCCUGGACCUGAGCUCUAACUCCUUCACAGACGGCUCUGUCUCCGCUCUCCGCCGCCUCAUACAGACCUGCACCAGUCUGGAGGACAUCUGGCUUUUGGGGAAUAGGUUCAGUUCAGAGGGAGCGAAACAGCUGCGGUCACU